UACGGGGGGAGCAAGCGUUGUUCGGAUUUACUGGGCGUAAAGGGCGCGUAGGCGGCCACCGCAAGUCGACUGUGAAAUCUCCGGGCUUAACCCGGAAAGGUCAGCCGAUACUACGGGGCUAGAGUGCAGAAGGGGCAACUGGAAUUCUCGGUGUAGCGGUGAAAUGCGUAGAUAUCGAGAGGAACACCUGCGGCGAAGGCGGGUUGCUGGGCUGACACUGACGCUGAUGCGCGAAAGCGUGGGGAGCGAACAGG
rnacentral:rRNA from 1 species